CACGGAGUUAGCCGGAGCUUAUUCUCCCGGUACUGUCAUUAUCAUCCCGGGUAAAGAGCUUUACAACCCUAAGGCCUUCAUCACUCACGCGGCAUUGCUGGAUCAGGCUUUCGCCCAUUGUCCAAUAUUCCCACUGCUGCCUCCCGUAGGAGUCUGGGCCGUGUCUCAGUCCCAGUGUGGCUGAUCAUCCUCUCAGACCAGCUAAGGAUCGUCGCCUUGGUGCGCCUUUACCACACCAACUAGCUAAUCCUACGCGGGCUCAUCCUCUGGCGAUAAAUCUUUGGACUUUCGUCAUCAUCCGGUAUUAGCAGUCGUUUCCAACUGUUAUUCCGAACCAAAGGGCAGAUUCCCACGCGUUACGCACCCGUGCGCCACUAGCACCCGAAGGCACUCGUUCGACUUGCAUGUGUUAGGCAUGCCGCCAGCGUCGUUCUUGAGCCAGGAUCAAACUACU
rnacentral:rRNA from 1 species